rnacentral:rRNA from 1 species
AUUGAACGCUGGCGGCAGGCCUAACACAUGCAAGUCGAACGAGUGGCGGACGGGUGAGUAAUGUCUGGGAACCUGCCCGAUGGCGGGGGAUAACUACUGGAAACGGUAGCUAAUACCGCAUACCAUCGGAUGUGCCCAGAUGGGAUUAGCUAGUUGGUGGGGUAAAGGCUCACCAAGGCCACGAUCCCUAGCUGGUCUGAGAGGAUGACCAGACACACUGGAAAUGAGACACGGUCCAGACUCCUACGGGAGGCAGCAGUGGGGAAUAUUGCACAAUGGGCGAAAGCCUGAUGCAGCCAUGCCGCGUGUAUGAAGAAGGCCUUCGGGUUGUAAAGUACUUUCAGCAGGGAAGCGUUACCCGCAGAAGAAGCACCGGCUAACUCCGUGCCAGCAGCCGCGGUAAUUC